GUAGGCAGCGAGCGUUGUUCGGAGUUACUGGGCGUAAAGGGUGUGUAGGCGGUUCUUUAAGUUUGGUGUGAAAUCUCCCGGCUCAACCGGGAGGGUGCGCCGAAUACUGAGGGACUAGAGUACGGGAGAGGAAAGUGGAAUUCCUGGUGUAGCGGUGAAAUGCGUAGAUAUCAGGAGGAACACCGGUGGUGUAGACGGCUUUCUGGACCGUAACUGACGCUGAGACACGAAAGCGUGGGUAGCAAACAGGAUUAGAUACCCUGGUAGUCCACGCCCUAAACGAUGCAUAUUUGGUGUGGGUCAUUCAGUUGAUCCGUGCCGGAGCUAACGCGUUAAAUAUGCCGCCUGGGGAGUACAGUCGCAAGGCUG
rnacentral:rRNA from 1 species